rnacentral:lncRNA from 1 species
GUGUCGCUCACCUUUGUCUAUGUGCAUAUUAAACAAAGGACACAGAUGGAUUCAUGACAAAAUUGUGUUUUGGUGAUGGUGAUGUGUUUGUAGAUCUUACUUUACUGAACAUUCUUGCUUCUUACAAUUAUCUCAUUAUCUCAAUUUAUAAUGAAUUUGGCCCAUUAGUUACAGAAGAAAAUAUUUUGUUAAAAUUUACAAAAAAUUUACAAAAUUUACAAAAUUAUUAAAAAUUGACUAUAAAGGGCAAUAACUCCUUAAGGAGUCAACUGACCUUUUUGGUCAUGUUGACUUAUUUGUGGAUCUUACUUUGAUGAACAUUAUUGCUGUUUACAGUUUAUCUCUAUCUAUAAUAAUAUUCAAG